UACAGGGGGUGCAAACGUUGCUCGGAAUUAUUGGGCGUAAAGCGCACGUAGGCGGUUUGUUAUGUCGGAUGUGAAAGCCCUUGGCUCAACUGAGGAAGUGCAUCCGAAACUGGCAAGCUAGAGUAUGGAAGAGGGUCGCGGAAUUCCCGGUGUAGAGGUGAAAUUCGUAGAUAUCGGGAGGAACACCGGUGGCGAAGGCGGCGACCUGGGACAAUACUGACGCUGAGGUGCGAAAGCGUGGGGAGCAAACAGG
rnacentral:rRNA from 1 species